CGGAGCGUAGCUCAGCCUGGUAGAGCACUUGGUUUGGGACCAAGACGCCGCAGGUUCAAAUCCUGUCGCUCCGACCA
rnacentral:tRNA from 1 species